rnacentral:lncRNA from 1 species
GUUUGCAGUAAAGAAGGGGACCUGGUGCAAGAGCUACAAUUUAACCAGAACCAUUCAUUAACCAGGAUCGUUCAUUAACAGGGCAGACUCAGUAGUAGUUUUCAGCUCUCAUAAUUAAACUAAAUUAACUUGAGAAUUCCUUUGCCUAAAUUUGAUCUGACUCCUGUGGGCCUCUGACUCCUGUAAGGCAGGCAGGAACAGCAACUUAAUAAGGUGACCCGGCGGGUGUGAGCCGGCGGCAGGAAGGGACCAGACUCAGCUCUGCCCCAGCAGCCCGCCGGGCUUCGCUCACUGUCUGCUCCCCACGCCGAGGUCCUUUGGAGUCUCCGUGGAGGUUAUUAUGAGGGCUUCCCCUGUGGCUCAGUGGUAAAGACUCUGCCUGAAAUGCAGGAGAUGCAGGCUCAACACCUGUGUCAGGAAGAUCCCCUGGAGAAGCGAAUGGUAACCCACUCCAGUAUUCUUGCCUGGAGAAUUCCACGGAUGGAGGAGCCUGGUGGGCUAUAUUCCAUGGGGUUGCAAAGAGUCGGAUAUGACUGAGGUGGCUGAACGCUCACAGGUUACUCACAACACCUAACACGAUGUGGAUGCUGUGUAAAUAAUUGCUGCCACAUGGAAAAUUCCAGUUUUGUUUCUGGAACUUUCUGGAAUCCUUUUUCUGAAUAGCUUCCAUCCGCGGUUGAUUGAACCCGUAGAUACAGAGGGCCCGCUGUAAACUAUAUCGUUAUAAACUUGCUAUAAGUAAGUUAUAAAUUUGUUAAAAACAAG